ACCACGUUCAUCCAGCUUUAGAGCUCGGAAUUACCUAUUGAAGCUCAGAUCCGGUUGAACACUGUGUACUUAGCAUCUGUACUGAAUGACAUUGUGCCCCUCGCUCGGCUCCUGGAUUUUAACUUGCAUUUUGUGGAGUCAGGGUCAAGUGAUGCUAAAAGUCAAGGUUUUCGUGAAGGGAGAAAUGCCUUGGUUUAACAGCAGGUUCCCAGCAUACAGAAUUACCACCGAAUUUAAAAAGUUUAAGCUCUUUAGUAAAGCUUCUGACAUGUUAAUGGCUGCAAACCACUGCAGUCCACUUUGCAGAGUCAGUGGUGCUGAUUAUCUCGCUGCUGUCAUGUUCUUGAAGUUGCCUGUAUAUUAAGCUCUGAGAAGAAAAAAACAUGCAGUGUUGUUAAAUAACAAAAUCAAAACUACAUAGUGAAUAAUAUAUUCAGUACAAAAAGUUACCAAAUGUUGAGGAUUUUAAAUAAAAUAACACUUGUGCAGGGUUAAUGUUGGUGUUCAUUUUGGUAAAUAUGUUGCCUACAGUUAAUCCAUUACGUUUCAGUCUCUGAAGUUUGCUAACAGUUGUAUAGACAAAGCUUUUGUCUGAUCUCAGAGAAGCCAGAAUUGUAAAAAGCCUUCAGAGGUCUUAAGAAUGUCUGUUCUCCUUUUUGUGUCAGUGCUGCAUUCUGGUGCUGGUGCAGCGCAGCGUUGUUGCACUAGCUCCUCAUGGACACAGCUGAGUUGGUACAGUCAAGUAGUCUUAGGUGCGUAUUUGUCUUUUUAAAGAUGAAGGAGCUGUUGUAAAACUCUGAGGUUAGAUUUCUGCAUUGAUGGACCUGUCUCUGUCUGGAAGUUCCUGGGCACUAGUUGUUUUCUUUUCACCGUGUGGUUUUCUGCAGACACAAGCACCAUGCCAUUUGUUUCGUUGCAGAUUACAUGAUGAGGUCUGUGGGUCUAAAUCCGGUGUGGCACUGAGUGCUGAAGUCAGAGGAGUUGCAAGAAAGCCUUCUAGAAGGAGCACUCAGCAUGUGACAAAAAUGUCUUGGAAAUAGUCGUGCACUGUACAGGGGCCAGCUGAGCCCUGCAUCAACUCAUGCAAUAGAGGAUCUGAUCCCACGCUGCUCAUGCAGGCAAUAUCCUAGCUGAAAUCUAUGGCAUCGUCACAGGCGUAAAGAGCAGAGUGUGACCCAGAGUGGAAGUUGGAGUGCUCAUGGAUUACCUUUACCUCCUCAGGGGAGCGGAACGCAGCAGCACGAGCGUGGUUGUGACAACACAGAGGUGCACUGGGUGCACAGUGCUGUCAGUACCAAAUUAACUCGGGCCUGACACGUUCCCUGCUGGUGCUGCACGGCUUGUAGUGUGUGUUCCAAUAACUCCAUGGGGAAGUGUGAGCACUUUGCAUGGGCCUGCUGUGCCCCCAGCCUUUAUUACUGACACCAGUCCAAAUUACUGGUGCUCGUCAGCCGUCAGUCUGCUCACACUUUGGGGUGAGGGCAGAGCAGCCUCAUUUCCAAUACCAGUGCACAGAUCCCUGGAGGAGAUAAAGGUGCUCUCGGUGUUGUAAAAGCAGCGUUAGGUUUUAUGCACGGCGCUCGUUCAGGUGGUGUCCGGGUAGGCUGGGUGUGUGCAGAUGGGGGUCACUCUGUUGUGCUGGGAGGGGACAACCCCGUUCUGCAGGAGCUGCACUCCGUGCCGUUCGCGUUGCGAUCACACCAAGCAUGUUGGUGAUACAAUACUGUGCAUAGGAAUCCCUUUAAAGGUUUUGUGCAAUAAACUAUUUUUGGUAAAG
ensembl:lncRNA